GUGCACCAGUCGCGAAAACUCCGCAAUGCGCGAAAGCGUGACGGGGCCACCCCGAGUGCCGUCCGCUGAGGAUGGCUUUUGCCUGGUCUAACCAGCCGGGUGAAUAAGGGGAGGGCAAGUCUGGUGUCAGCCGCCGCGGUAAUACCAGCUCCCCGAGUAGUUGGGACGAUUAUUGGGUCUGAAGCGUCCGUAGCCGGCCGGAAAAGUUCCCCGUUAAAUCUGGCGAUCCAAUCGUUGGGCUGCGGGGAAUGCUCUUCGGCUUGGGGGCGAGGGAGGUCGGCGGUAGUCCCGGGGUAGGGGCGAAAUCCUAUAAUCCCGGGAAGACCACCAGUGGCGAAGGCGGGUAGCCAGAACGCGCUCGACAGUGAGGGGCGAAAGCUGGGGGAGCGAACCGGAUUAGAUACCCCCGUAGUCC
rnacentral:rRNA from 1 species